rnacentral:rRNA from 1 species
CUCCUACGGAGGCAGCAUGGGGAAUAUUGCACAAUGGGCGCAAGCCUGAUGCAGCGACGCCGCGUGGGGGAUGAAGGCCUUCGGGUUGUAAACCCCUUUCACCAGGAGCGUUUUAAUCAGACGGUACCUGGGGAAGAAGCGCCGGCUAACUACGUGUCAGCAGCCGCGGUAAUAC